UACCAUCUUUUACGUGCACACCACACCACGUCAAGGCUACAUUGAUGUAUUCAACGAUUAUAUAGCCUCGGCCGAUAGGCCCAGGAAAUCUUCGAAAUUUCAUCGUGAUGAGGAUAGAUCAUUGUAAUUAUUGGUCUAAAACGAUAAAUUCCUUAUAAGCCAGAGUAAUCAGCUAGCAUUGACUACAUCCCUACCCAUUGUACACACUGCCUCGCUAACGAUUGAAUAGUCCGAUGAAGUGUUAAGAUCAUGGAGAUGUGGGCGGUUCGCUCCUAGGACGUCAUUAGAAUUCCACUAAACAUUAUCAUUUAGAGGAAGAAGAAUCGUAACAAGGUUUCCAUAGGUGAACCUACGGAAA
rnacentral:lncRNA from 1 species